CAACGAAAUAAAUCCCUUGCGGGAUUUGUGAAAUACCGCUUCGCGGUGUGAAAUAUGGCUUUGCCAUGUGAAAUGC
rnacentral:sRNA from 1 species